rnacentral:lncRNA from 1 species
GGGGAGAUAGGUCUGAAGUUGCGAUGAAGGACGACUCGAAUCGCCCUGUUUUGCGUAACAGGUUGGGACGACAAAGUACAAGGAAACGACAUCGGUUUAUGAAUGAAUUGAUUGUGAUAUUUUCUCUGGAGUAGACAUGUGAUGUUUUGACUUGUUAUAAUUUAUACUUUAUGUUGAUUUACUGUGUUAUAAGCUAUGAUGAUAUUUCUAGUUACUCA